rnacentral:rRNA from 1 species
CAACGUUCAACAGAGGAUGUCUAGGCUCGCACAUCGGAUGAAGAACGCUGCGAACUGCGAUACGAAAGGCAAACUGCAGGAUACACAGUGAGUCAUCGAAAUUUUGAACGCAUAUUAGCACUUCCGGGUUAGUCCUGGGAGUAUGCCUGUAUCAGUGUCCGUA